GAUAUCGCGAAUGACGAUGGAUCGGAUCCCAUUGUAGAGUUGAAGCAGAUUGAACCCCAACGUGGAAAUGUGGCAAAGGCGUUUGUGCCAUACAACACCUCCUUCGAGCUGAAUCAUAUUCUACAAUGAAGUGGCGUGUCGAUAAUGGACAAAGGUCAGCGCUGCUGAUAUAUCUACAGAUGGGUCUGUUGUGCCUCUCUGGAAGACCGAGGCAAGCGUACAGGGUAAUGAAAGUGACAAAGAUAUAAUCUUCUUCGUAAAGAAACGCGUUAUUGCAGCUGACAAAAGGAUGCGGGAGGAACGCUGGCCAAAGGAUUAUCUAGACGCCACCGGUCCAAGGAACAACGACCGUUAUUGCAGAGGGACUGUGCCGAAAUGAAAGACGGCGAUCGGUUUCCAUGAUCGGUAGUUUU